rnacentral:lncRNA from 1 species
CAGAUCAGUAAUAGUUCUACAAUUAAUAAUAGGAAGGAUUUUGAAAUAUCUACUCCCCUGACAACCAUCACAAUACAAAAUAGUUUUUGCAUCUAUAAAAUAAAAUCGAAUUAAUCAAUAAGAUAAAAAAAUAAAGUAAAGGAGAACUCAUUAUUAGAUUUUACGAGAGUGAUAUUCCAAUAUGGUGACAAGCAAUUUGGCUGUUAAAGAAGGAUUACAAACUCAACAAGUUCGAGAAUUUCAAUAGCAUUUAUCUAUUUCAACAUCCGAAUAACUAUUUAUAUGAAACAACGGAAUAGAACAUGCAUUGCCGACCAAACUAUCGAAGAAAGAGAAGCGCAUUACUAGUCUAUAGUUAUGUUCCACUUGUUUUCCAAUGACAAAUAACUCAGUAUUAAUAAAGCAAACUGGCGUGAGCUUGAAGUGUCCAGCUAAUAUAAUUUUCCGUAUAUACCGUAUAUCACGAAAUCCAAAUUAUAAAUAGAAUUCAUAUAACUGUGAUAGAGAUGACU